CCACCCGGUCGCAACUGGCGAGGGUGGGGUACCACCGGGGAGCGACCACGAUCCACCGAAGGGGCGUCGCCCGCCUGGGCGCCCUAC
rnacentral:ncRNA from 2 species